GGAUUGGUGCCGUGCACGGUCGUGCUGGUGCACGCAGUGAAGGAUAUAAUUUCUCCCCUAUGGGUUGGCUGCUGCAGACUUCAAGGGUUUCCCCUUGUGGCGGCCCCCUUCUUCUAUCAAGGUAUUUUUGCACUGUUCUUGGAUGUGAAUUUUUUUUUUCCUUUUUUCUUUCCUUUGUUCGGGGAAAUAGGAGAGAACAGAGCAGAAAGAAAGAACGGAGGAUUGCGAAAAUAAAGGAUAAUAAGAGAAGAGAAAGAUCCCUUCUUCUCUCUCCAAGUCUCUCCACCUGACGGGGGGGGGUUAGCAGAACCUCAUCUCUGUUGGUUGAGCAUCCAAACUGGGAUUAUGAUCCCCUCUUCUCCUCACUCCGAAACAAAUGGGAGAUUCUAUCUCUCUCCUCUCUACCGCCUGCCUGUCUUCUCGACCAACAUAGGUGAAAGAUGAAUGCAUGCUUCAAUUAAAUUUUAGCAGCUUUAUUUUUAAAUUAAUCGAUAUUUUGUUUCUGUUUUCCUUUUCGAUCUGCGUACAAAAGGGCAAACAUGAAUCCAGAUCAUACCAGCAUCCUAUACCUUCUUUCGACCGUUUUCCUUUUUCUUUUUUUUUCUUCUUUUGAGGAAACCGAUUGAUUCAUCGACAAAAGCACGCUCUCUUGGAGUUCGGGAUUAAAAAAAAUUCGAGGUGAUUAGAGCGGUGAGCAUGCGUCGGAGAUGAAGCGGAAAGGGAGACGGUAAGGACGCGGGACACCCCUAGAUUUUGCGCCGGGGAUUCUGCGAUUCUUGCUGGUGGAGGAGACGAAGAGUUUGAAUGGGUCCGGGCAUGUGGCUGCUUCUCUUGCCACAAGCAAAGUCAAAGGUAAACACGCGG
rnacentral:lncRNA from 1 species